rnacentral:lncRNA from 1 species
AUGGAAGAACGUAUAUGGGUGUUUCCUGAAGAAAACAUAAAAAUGAUAAGAGAAAGAACAGAACAAAAAUUAAAUUGGAAUUAUAUUUUAAAAAAAAAUAAUCCUUUAUUAAUUGAUAACGUUAAUAAAAUAUAUGAAGGAAUAUAUAAAACAAAUAAUAUAGAUGAUAUAUAUUUUUAUUUUGAUACUUAUCCAUAUAAUUAUUUAAAUGUUACUAUGAGUGUUUUUUCACUUUAUAAAAUUGCUACUAGUUUUUUAAAAGAACAAAAAUGGAAAAAUAAAAGUGAAAGAGAAAAAUAUUUUUUUAUAAAUGAACAAAACGAUGAGAAUGAGAAAAGUUUAUCAGUACAUAAUAAUCAGUUACUUACUAACAAAAUAAUUAACGAAGGAAUUAACAACAACAACAACAACAACAACAAUAACACAAAUGAAAUGAAUAAUAUGUUUAUUGUUGAUAAUACAGACCAUGAAAUAAACAACACACAUUUGUUUAAAAUUAAAGAAGAAAGAAAAAGACUUAGUUAUAUUAUUAAUAAUCGAAAUUUUAAAAGAAUAAUCGGUUCUAUUUAUAAGCAUUUAAAAAUUAUUUAUAAAACAUUUACAACUAAUGAUAAAUUAACAACUUAUGAAAAAAAUAAAAACAUAUAUAAUUAUAUUCCAUAUAUUAAUAUAAUAGAUAUUAUUACUAUUUUAAAAUCUUUUUAUAUUUUAAAAUAUGAUCAUACAGAUAUAUAUAAAUAUAUAUUUUUUUUUAUUGUUUUUUUUAUUAAUAAAUUUAAUAUUGAAUAUUUAACUGAGGUUGUUUAUUUAUGUAUUAUAAAACAAAUUAAUAUUAAACCACUUUUUGAAAAUUACACUAAAAGAAUGCUUUUAUAUUUUCAAGAAGAAAAUGAAAAAUUGAAUAAAAGUGAUAACAUUGUAGAAAAUAUAAUACAAAAUAAUAUCAAUUCAAAUAAAAAAGAUCAACUAAGUAAGUCAAGUCCUAAAGAUAUGAAUUUUGUUCCAUCUAUUCAGACUGAUAAAACAACAUUGAUAGAUAAGAAAGAAAAAGAACAAAAUUAUACAGUAGGACUAGUAUCCGAAAAAAACAUUUAUAAUAAUAUAAAUUCGUUAUACCAAGAUAUAGAUAUAAGUAGUAUAGAUAAGAGUAUAGGAAAGAUACUUAGUGAACACAGCAGUGGUAAUAGUGGUGACAGUGGCAGUGGUAAUAGUGGUGACAGUGGCAGUGGUAAUAGUGGCGAUAGUUAUAGUGGUGAUGCUACUAACACAAAUGUCAACUACGAACAAACAUUUUUUUUUAUGCGUCCAUUUAAUUAUUCUAUUUACCAUUCGGCAAAUUAUUCAAAUUUAAACUAUAGUAUUGAUGAUCAAAAAAAAAUGAAUGAAAUAAAAAAAAAAAAUAAAACAGAGGAUGCAAAAAAAUUAACUUAUAGUGAUAAAACGAAUGAAAAAAAAAACAUUUUUUGA